rnacentral:rRNA from 1 species
UACGGGGGAGCAAGCGUUGUUCGGAUUUACUGGGCGUAAAGGGCGCGUAGGCGGCCACUGCAAGUCAGUUGUGAAAUCUCCGGGCUUAACCCGGAAAGGUCAACUGAUACUGCAGGCUAGAGUGCAGAAGGGGCAACUGGAAUUCUCGGUGUAGCGGUGAAAUGCGUAGAUAUCGAGAGGAACACCUGCGGCGAAGGCGGGUUGCUGGGCUGACACUGACGCUGAAGUGCGAAAGCUAGGGAGCGAACGGG